CGUGUAUGAAGAAGGCCUUCGGGUUGUCAAGUACUUUCAGUUGUGAGGAAGGGGGUGUCGUUAAUAGCGGCAUCUCUUGACGUUAGCAACAGAAGAAGCACCGGCUAACUCCGUGCCAGCAGCCGCGGUAAUACGGAGGGUGCGAGCGUUAAUCGGAAUUACUGGGCGUAAAGCGCAUGCAGGUGGUUCAUUAAGUCAGAUGUGAAAGCCCGGGGCUCAACCUCGGAACUGCAUUUGAAACUGGUGAACUAGAGUACUGUAGAGGGGGGUAGAAUUUCAGGUGUAGCGGUGAAAUGCGUAGAGAUCUGAAGGAAUACCAGUGGCGAAGGCGGCCCCCUGGACAGACACUG
rnacentral:rRNA from 1 species